rnacentral:rRNA from 1 species
UACGUAGGGGGCAAGCGUUGUCCGGAUUUAUUGGGCGUAAAGAGCGUGUAGGCGGCCAGGUAGGUCCGUUGUGAAAACUCGAGGCUCAACCUCGAGACGCCGAUGGAAACCAUGUGGCUAGAGUCCGGAAGAGGAGAGUGGAAUUCCGUGGUGUAGCGGUGAAAUGCGCAGAUAUCAGGAAGAACACCCGUGGCUAAGGCGGCUCUCGUAG